UGGGGAAUUUUGGACAAUGGGGGAAACCCUGAUCCAGCCAUCCCGCGUGUGCGAUGAAGGCCUUCGGGUUGUAAAGCACUUUUGGCAGGAAAGAAACGUCGCGGGUUAAUACCCCGCGAAACUGACGGUACCUGCAGAAUAAGCACCGGCUAACUACGUGCCAGCAGCCGCGGUAAUACGUAGGGUGCAAGCGUUAAUCGGAAUUACUGGGCGUAAAGCGUGCGCAGGCGGUUCGGAAAGAAAGAUGUGAAAUCCCAGAGCUUAACUUUUGGAACUGCAUUUUUAACUACCGGGCUAGAGUGUGUCAGAGGGAGGUGGAAUUCCGCGUGUAGCAGUGAAAUGCGUAGAUAUGCGGAGGAACACCGAUGGCGAAGGCAGCCUCCUGGGAUAACACUGACGCUCAUGCAUGAAAGCGUGGGGAGCAAACAGGAUUAGAUACCCGUGGUAGUCCACGCCCUAAACGAUGUCAACUAGCUGUUGGGGCCUUCGGGCCUUGGUAGCGCAGCUAACGCGUGAAGUUGACCGCCUGGGGAGUACGGUCGCAAGAUUAAAACUCAAA
rnacentral:rRNA from 1 species